rnacentral:rRNA from 1 species
CAUGGAGGGUGAGAAUCCCGUUCAUGGUUAAUUCUAAGAUGCUUUAUGAUGCGUUUUCGAAGAGUCGAGUUGUUUGGGAUUGCAGCUCAAAAUGGGAGGUAAAUUUCUCCUAAGGCUAAAUAUUGGCGAGAGACCGAUAGCGAACAAGUACCGUGAGGGAAAGAUGAAAAGAACUUUGAAAAGAGAGUUAAACAGUACGUGAAAUUGUUGAAAGGGAAACGAUUAAAGUCAGUCGUACCAGCGGGAAAUCAACCUUUCGAGUGGGGGUUUUGGAGUUUUGAAGAGUGUCAAAACCUUUGAGAUUUCAAAAUUUUCGCUCUUUUGGUGUACUUUCUCGUGGGUAGGUUAACAUCGAUUUUUGAUCAUCAUAAAAAGAUUGGAGGAAUGUAGCUUCGAUCUUGUAUUGAAGUGUUAUAGCCUUUGGUAAAUGUGAUGAUUAGGAUCGAGGAUUGCAACGAAUACCCUUUUGGGCUAUCCGCCUGAUCUCUGAUACGUGGCCUUGGUAUCGAAAGCGUGCUUAUGGUAUUAAGGUAUUACGGUCAAAAGGUUAGAACGGAUUACAUUCGUUAAGGAUGUUGACGUAAUGG